rnacentral:rRNA from 1 species
UGCGUAGGCGGACUAAUAAGUCAGUGGUGAAAUCUCUCGGCUCAACCGGGAAACUGCCAUUGAUACUGUUAGUCUUGAGUUCGGUUGAGGUAGGCGGAAUGUGUAAUGUAGCGGUGAAAUGCUUAGAUAUUACACAGAACACCAAUUGCGUAGGCAGCUUACUAGACCGACACUGACGCUGAGGCAUGAAAGCGUGGGUAGCGAACAGGAUUAGAUACCCUGGUAGUCC